AUUGAACGCUGGCGGCAUGCCUUACACAUGCAAGUCGAACGGUAACGGGCCUUCGGGUGCCGACGGGUGGCGAGCGGGUGAGUAAUACAUCGGAACGUGCCCGAUCGCGGGGGUUAACGAGGCGAAAGCUUUGCUAAUAACUCAUACGAUCUACGGAUUAAAGCAGGAGACCUCAAGGCCUCGCGCGGACGGUGCGGCCGAUGUGAGAUUAGGUAGUUGGUGGGAUAAAAGCUUACCAAGCCGACGAUCUGUAGCUGGUCUGAGAGGAUGAUCAGCCACACUGGGACUGAGACAAGGCCCAGACUCCUACGGGAGGCAGCAGUGGGGAAUUUUGGACAAUGGGCGCAAGCCUGAUCCAGCCAUGCCGCGUGCAGGAUGAAGGCCUUCGGGUUGUAAACUGCUUUUGUACGGAACGAAAAGCCUUCUUUUAAUACAGGAGGGUCAUGACGGUACCGUAAGAAUAAGCACCGGCUAACUACGUG
rnacentral:rRNA from 1 species